UACGUAGGGUGCGAGCGUUUGUCCGGAAUUAUUGGGCGUAAAGAGCUUGUAGGCGGUUUGUCGCGUCUGCUGUGAAAAUCCGGGCUCAACCCGGACUUGCAGUGGGUACGGGCAGACUAGAGUGUGGUAGGGGAGACUGGAAUUCCUGGUGUAGCGGUGAAAUGCGCAGAUAUCAGGAGGAACACCGAUGGCGAAGGCAGGUCUCUGGGCCACUACUGACGCUGAGAAGCGAAGCAUGGGGAGCGAACAGG
rnacentral:rRNA from 1 species